GUGUGUUUUUACUUUGUACCUAAAUGGGACACUGGACUUUUAACUACUAUUCAUUGUGUUUAUAAAUAAAAUUUUAGAAUUUUAUUGACUGUCAUCUUUUUGCCCACGGUGGAGACGGUUGGUCAGACCUAGAAUCUGUGUGUGUGUGUGUGUGUGUCAUCAGCAGGGUUUUGCAUAAAAGAGUGUGAGCAGGUCAAAAGGUCAAUUCAUUUAUUGUAGUUUUAUGGCAGCACCCUCUAGUGGCCUUGAAGCAAACAGUCUCCUAACUAAGCCAUGGCAUCUCUGGUCUCUCCUACUUUUGUGUGCUCUGCUGGAGGAGCAGCAUUGGAUCUAGUGAUACUGAGUAAGCUGAUUAGGACAGGCCUGGAGAAAUGUGGUUUGCAUGAAGUAUCAGGAAAAAAACAACCUUGUAUUGUAAAAUAAUAAUACACGAAUAAUACUUUUCAUGACAUUCAGAUUUCUGGACUCACGAGUUCAUAGAACAUUAAUGUUACGAAACAUUGAGAAGUCUUAAAACUACAUUGUAUACUUAUUAUUUAUUUACUUUAAUCAGAUUUGACUGGUAUUUUUAAACAUUAAGUUUUUGUUCCUUCAACUAUUGUAUUUAAGCUUAUGACUCACUCACAGUAUGUUUAUAUAACUGCCUAAAAAACGGUGAGGAUGUGGCCGCAGUGGCUGAGAAGCAAGAACUUUGCUUUGUCUUUUUUUUUUUUUUUUUUUUAAAUUGGGAAGCAUAAAUGAACAUACCAGAAAACCCUGCACGAAGGAGCCAUAUUUGUUUUUUGUGUGUGCAUAAGAUGACGCUUUAGUAUUAUUACACAUAUGAUAAGGAUGUUAGCAUGCAACACACAAACUCAAGUGGUGUUGCCAAGAUAGUUGCUGACUGGCAAGAAACUUCUAGAAGAAAUCUGGUGACAGUCCAAAGCACAAAUGAACAUGUUUAAUACUCGUGCAAGACUAAUCUGUCCAACACACUUGGACAGAUUGGUGAAAAAGCCAAAACUAAAUCAGACAGACUGAGUGUUACAGUGAACUGUUCUCUGCUCAUAAAGAAGCUCACAGUCGAGGAUGUUGGUUUUUAUUACUGUCAACAAUACGAAGUCAAAGAAACACCAUCUAAACACACUCAGGUUCAUCAGUCUUUGGCUCGUCUCUCUGUUAUUACCUUGACUGAACAUAAGGACACUGAUACGGUGACGUUAAGCUGCUCUGUGCUGACAUAUGAACAGUGUCAUCA
ensembl:lncRNA